AGAAAGAGAGAGAGAGAGAGAGAGAGAGAGACAAAGAAAGUGGUAAAAGCAGUUCUUAUAAAAAAUGAAACGAUGUGUCACUAUCUCAACUUGUCUUUAUUGCAAAUAAAAUUUUCUAAUCUGUUUUCUUAGAUCUGCAGUAUCUCUAUGUAACAUUGUUUCCAAGCUCAAUUAGGAGGAUUUUUAUGUCACCCCCCCCAUAAAACAUCUCAUUUUUAUGCCCUUUGAGCACCCCAAGUAGGUUUAUAAUUAAGCUUGUGCUUAAUUGAAGGAGUAUAGAUAAAAUAACAAUUGUUUCUCAUUUCUAAUUCCAGUUUUCUGUAAAGACAUUUAAAUCGUCAAUUUCUGGGUACCUGAAAAAAGCAAGGUACAGAUGCCUGUAAUUUUUCCUAUUUUUAGUUUUGGAAUGAAUCUUUUCUCACGGCAAUUAAAGCAAAUGAAAAAACCAGUCCUUGAACACUUGCAGCAAGACUAUCACUUGCUACUGAAAUUGACAUUGGAUUAAAAAGCUAAAGUUUGAAAGUAAAAUUAUUUUGCUACUCUUUAAAUAUUUAAGCAGUUUUAAAAUACACUAGAAAAUAAAUACACUUAUUUCCCUAAUAGUGCACAUCACUUGGGUGACAUUCUGUAUACUCUUAUUUUUGCCACAAUGUGGAUUUUUUUCCCAUCAGAUGAAAACCUACAGAAAUAAACGCUGAAACAAAUAGUAGAUUGUUCCCCUCCUUCCCUUCUCAUGCCAAUGAAAUACUUCAAGUGAACUGUUUCCUGAUCACAAAAAUCAUGGUUUUUUUUAAAAAAAUCAACAAGCAGUUAUUUAAAAGAAUACAUACUAUUAUUAAAAGUUAGCCAAGACCAACUAGUAAGACCUCAAAAAUGAACAUAUUUCAAAGAAUUUUGUUCUCUUCAAUAGUUGCAUGAGUUUUUUUUUUUUCCAGGAAAAUGUGCAAAUAUCAAGGUUACCUGGGUCUGCUGGUCACUUCUAGUUUUUGGACUCUUGAAGAUGGUCUCUGUGACUCUGUCCUGGGUGAAAAGCAAGCAAAAAAGAGACCAAAGACUUGGAUUAAAAUCAAAAUGAGAAGUAAAAAGAGUACCUAGUGUCUUAAAGAUGCGUGCCCUGCCUAGCCUCCAAAGUGCUUGCCAUUCUAGAAGCCUUCAGUGCCCUAGCCUGAUUUGGAAGGCGUCCUGGAAUGAACCCACUGCACAGGAGAGGGCAAGGUGAGACCUGGGGGCUGGGGUGGGAGCCCAGCGGGAGGAUGAGAAGGUUCUCAUUCCACUUAGUAGUGCUGGUCACUGUCAGAUUGGCAUCUACCCCCACACCCCCAGCUACAGAGUAGAUGGAAGACCCACAACCAGCCUGAAUGUGAAGUAGAGACAUAUACCAGGAAAAAAGAACAGAAUGAUGCCCUGUGUACAUGGGAUGUAGCUAAGGCUCAGAAGAAAUUUCCUCAGCAAGAGGACAGGAAACACUGACUUCCCCCAACCCAAGCUAUGAGUCAAAACUGAUGGAGACACCGAUGAUAUCCACAUUUUCUCUUAAAGUCUCUUCCUUCUAAUUCCCCAAAUUUCUCUUUGUGGCUUAUAUUUUGGGCUAGAAAUGCAAGCAGAAAGGAAAGGCUAGGAAGGAAUUAGCAGUGGAGAAGGCAAGAGAAAUAAUAAUGCCUGGGUAUACAGUUGGUGCUGAGGACAUGCUAGGUGAAAGGAUGAGAGGGAGAAGAGAAGGCUGAAAGACAAAAAGGCUGUGAACUUGACUUUAUGUUCCUUGAGGGCAGAAACUGUCAUAUUCUCCUCUUUUCCCAAUUCCAAGUAUUUGCACAGGCCUUUUUUAUUUAGAAUGUGAUUAAAUGUUUUUGUUAAUUUCAAAGUCAAAGGAGAAAGAGAGAGAGAAGGGAUGGGUCUAAGGGGGUUGAACUGUUACUCCAUCCUAAACCCCAUGUGACUGGCUCCCUCCAUCAGAGCCCGCUCUGCUCACAUUUGUACUUUGGUCCUAGAUAUAAAACUAAAAGCCUUCCCUUCUUAUCUAUCCAUCCGGAUCUCUCCAUUUUGGGGGGCUCUGGUUUGACUCUUUCUGCCUUGAGGCCAUUUGCCUUGGACUCUUAGCUUUGACCUCUAGGACAUGAGGUUCUACACCUCCUUUUGGCCACUUCCUUCCUAUCAGGAGGUGACUCGGGCAUCAUUUUGGAUACCAGUCCUUGGCCGGCUCCAGGCUCUCAUCUGCCUGGGUGGAGGUGGGGAGAGGCCGGGAUCUAUGAUGAGCCCUUUCCCUCACUCAGUGUGCUGUGGAGAAGAAAACAGGCUUGGACCCAUGAGGGCUCGGCUUACAAAUGUUCCAACUUGAAGCUUGGAGAAAAAAAACUGGUACAAAUGUAACUGCAUCAAGGAAUGCAGUCCAGUGUCAUUUUGGGGCUUGCAGUGUGGCAGGCCACCUGUCCACAGGUGCCUGGACCACAGCGCUCCCACAUCCUGACCCACCACUGCUAGAAAGCUGCCCAGCCCACACAAGCGCCAUCUUCCAGUCUCAGGAAUGGGAAGCCAGAACAGUAGGCGCCUGCCUCCUGACCGAGGAGACAGGACAGUGAGAGACGAUAAGCUGCAUCCGGGGCAUCCUCUGUGGAAGUGAUUGCCACUGCAGCACCUCUUACUGGGGAAACCAGUGUCCCCUGAUGCCACCCCAACAGAGCAUCCACAGACCCUGGUGCUGUCUAUUGCCUACUGCCCAACUGCUGCCUACUCCCCUAGGACUUGGCAUCUCCCAGUGGAAAAUUCAGCAGACACCGUUUUUAGGAAUGCUCACACAGCCCCCUCACUAUACAGCUCUUUCUACCUUAGGAAGGACCCGGUCCUAUUCCAGGAAGACUCCAGUGUAGUGACCACAACUCUAUUUCUCCAGGAAACUGUUCCUAGAAGAGGCCAAAUGGCCUGAAAAGAAACAUGACUAGGUAAGAAUAGAGGCUAUGCCAGAUGUUUGGAGCACUCUCUGGAGAUUCCUAGGGCAGCAAGCAUAGUUUAUACUAUGCUUGCUGAAUAUAAGUGUAUAAGACACUUAUACCAAGCUCGGCCAGUACCACACAAGGGAGCGUUUUCCAGGCCCUUUCGGGGGCCAUGUGCUGGACAGAAACCUACUCUGAAGAGCCAGAGCACUGUGAGCAGGAGAGGAGGAUUUGCUUGAAGAAGUCACAUCCAGACAUUCAGCUCAGCAGCUCCUAUGGAAGAGCAGGACUUGAGCAGCAGGGGGCAGCAAAGCACAACCGCCUCCUUCAGCUGAACCCUAGGGCAGCCUUGGGAGGCAGGUGGUGAGGCGCGGGAGAAUUAGCCUCCCAGGGGACAGCUACUAGGCUUGUCAGAGGUACUGCAACCAAGCUUGCCCCUUGUCGGUUGCCUCUCUGAAUUCUGAAAAAAUCUUUGUCACAGUCCGCGGGGACCUCUGGAAUAAGAAGAGCUGAGACAGAGAUGCCGGAGGAGCAAACCUCAAGACACGUGGCAAUGUCUGUCCUCGCUGAUUUCACCCCUUUUUCCAGUUUGACAUCAUCCUUGCAGAUGGAGUUCCUAAGACAUGACACUUCAUCUUCUCUUUUUGGCACCAGUAACCACAGUCUCACUCCAUAGUAAGACCUCUAACCACCUUACUUGCCCCCAUCCAGACUGCACCGGCUUUGUCGGGCAUCAGUGUCUCCACAUGCAUACCCAUCAGUUCUCGAAUAACCACCUAAAGGGAAGGUCAGACCCACUUACCACUUGGAUUCUUGGGAAAGAUUCCCCCUCUCACCUACAGUGGGCCUGAUCCAACUCUCCAGGAGAAGUCAUCUAUAACAGCUCUACCCCUCUCUCCUGUUGGGACACCUCUUCUCUCCCUUGUUCUCCCUUCUUACCCCUGCCAGAGAAAACCUGACUUCCCUCCUCACCCAAAUCCCCAGAGUUCUGGUCACACCAACACCCUGGCAGCCACCCUGCCUCAGGGAGCUACAGCAACCUUUCCAGGAAGACCUCCGAGACACUCUCUGACAUGUUGAAGUCCACAGUGAAGAGUGCCCCAACCACCCCUGGCCUCCAAAACAAUCACAAAUACACAACUCACCUUCUUAGCUUAGACAUUCAAGGUGGGAAGCUCCUGGGGCUGUCGUUUGUAUGAUAAUCAAUGCAACAAAAAUCAGAGCCUAAUAAGCACCUUGACACACUCCAAUUUCACUGCUUUUCUCGGAGAAAGAACCGUGGUAUUCUCAUAGAUUGCUUGGCUCUGGUUGACCCUCUUCAGAGCUGGUAAUUUACCUCUGGUUGCUGCCUGUCAAUGUUCAGGUAUUAAUUAUGCUCAUCUAUAAGUAGUUGACUGAGUGAGAAGAGACGGGGGAUGGGGUGGGAAACAGGAGCAAAUGUGAUAUGGUAGGGGAAACAUGAAAGAAAACAGGCCAAGUGUCCUCUUGAAUUUACAAGACACUGUGUCCCCAUGAGUGCAGACCUUAGUAUUCACACUGAAUCAAUUCCACAGCAAGUCACCAACUUCUAAGAUUUAGUAAUCCACAAGAUAAAAAAUUGGGGAUAAUUACUAAAUUGCAAUACAAUUAUAUGCCAACCAUGGUGUUUUAGCAAAGCAUAAUAAUUAAAAUGUGCCAAAUUUUUGCUUGUAAAGCAAGUUAGUGUCCAUUCUCCUCUUUCCUGACCUGUGCAAUCCACCUCCCCUCUUUCCACCUGUAUGGCCCGCCUAACACCUCUCAUUUGCACAUACAUUUUCUCUCUUCUACCCCUCCACACACCAUAGCUCAAAUCUGGGACAUCUUUAGAUGGGGUGGGCUAAAACAAAGGCCAGGAAGCACUCAGUUAAACUGUCUUCAGGCACUGGUUUGUCUGGUUUUUGUUCUUUUCCCCUGGAAGGUUGAUUCCUCCCUGACUCACAGCAAGGUGCCAGUCGGCCAGUGGGGUACAAAGUGUGUAUUCCAUUUAGCACGUUGCAUAUCAAAGUCAAGUGUGCCCUGACUACUAAGCAUGGCCAAAGCCCAUGGCGUAAGGGAAGUCUCCUUGGACGGCAAAAAGGGAAUCCUCCCCAAGAAAAACAAAGACCUUCCCACCGUCAGUACCUCCUUAAGAAGAUACCACCACCUCCUCCAUCCUACUUCCACCCCAUUCAGGGUUUCCCAGCUGUUUUCAUUCUGCAGACCUGUUGCUUUGUACCUGUGCAGCAAGGCAAUCUGAUGAAAAUCACCCAGAAGGAAAGAAAAGGCAGGAAUUCAUUUAUAGGAGGAUACACUGGCUGACAUACAGCAUCCCCGGACACACCCAAUCAAAAUAAUGGAGGAUAUAUCCUUUCAGGAAAAACAACUGACGCUCCUCAGCCAAGAAAGAAGAAGGCUAAAUAAAAAUUGCUUGGGGGUCCUACGCAACUGUCUUACAUGCUCUGCUCAUGUACCCCAAAACCUAAAAUCCAAUAAAAAAUUAAAAAAAAAAAUUGCUUGGGGGUUCACCCUAUUCUCUCCCACAGGCAUUGCUAACGCAAUGCGAACCUGGAUACCUGUGUACCUCUGGCAAAUCAGGCAGGUCUGUUUGGAAUUGGCCAGGAAAGAGAGCCCACCUGAACUUGAGGCCUCUACAAACCAGGCUGUCUCACAUGCUACAAGUGCCACUUCCUUGAAGCUGUGGGGGCCUCGUCACACUCUUGGAGAGCCACAGCUCAGACAUUGGUAUCACUGCUGUGCAAAAAGCAGCCCCUCCUACACAGUCUUUGUCUCCUAGGCCCAAACACCUUUCCCCCUCACUCUGCCCUGGCCAGGUCUCCAUCCUAUUACCCUCAAAUGGCCUCACUUUCCCUCAUGUCCUCCAACUAGUUGUUCUGUGAAGACCCCUAAAAUAAUUAUUAAACUGACUCCUGGUUUUCUUCAAUGGUCUGGGGCUAACACUACAAAAUGAAACAGAAGCACCACCUCCUUGGUGCCUGACCCAAAGCAGUCCCAGGUUGCCAGCCAAUUUUAUUGGCAACUAAAGUCUUAGAGGUGAGUUGAAGGUGGAAUGUUCAAAAGUCCAGUAUCUCAGUGGAAUAGUCAAUGGAUGGAUAAAUUUGAUGUGCAUAAGCUAAAGAGUAUUAUGGGAGUAAAACAUGAAUAACAGAGAGCUGCUUUUGUGUAUUGCUUUCAAAGCACCAUAAGUUUGAUUACAUGUCUUAAGGCACUGGAUUCUCUAUUUUCCCCAGUCUAGCUCUCCUAGAGCAAUCACAAACCUCUCAAGAGUAAGGACCAUGUCUUACUCAUCUUCCUAUCCCUGGCCUGCUGGUAUCGGUAGCUCUCCAUAGUUGUGCAGUGAUUUUUGAAUGAAUGAAACUGCUUACCUUUUGCAUCCUGUCCCCAGCCCCUACCUUCCCUGGCCCUCCUCAGGUCCUGACAGCUGAGUUAUC